GAUGAACGCUAGCGGGAGGCUUAAUACAUGCAAGUCGAGGGAGAAAUUUAUUUCGGUAGAUGGAAACCGGCGCACGGGUGAGUAACGUGUACGAAUCUGCCCUCAAGUUGAGGAUAGCCCUGGGAAACUGGGAGUAAUACUUAAUGUGGUCUACGGACUAAAGAUUUAUCGUUUGAGGAUGAGCGUGCAUUAGAUUAGCUAGUUGGUAGGGUAAGAGCCUACCAAGGCUACGAUCUAUAGGGGGCGUGAGAGCGUGAUCCCCCACACGGGUACUGAGACACGGACCCGACUCCUACGGGAGGCAGCAGUAAGGAAUAUUGGUCAAUGGAGGGAACUCUGAACCAGCCAUCCCGCGUGCAGGAAGACGGCUCUAUGGGUUGUAAACUGCUUUUAGAAGGGAAGAAGUUCUUUCAUUUAUGAGAGGUUGACGGUACCUUCAGAAUAAGCACCGGCUAACUCCG
rnacentral:rRNA from 1 species